GAACGUUCAAAGUUAACUUUUCAUGAGUGGAGCAGAAACAUUAGUUUCUGACUAGUUCCUAAAAAAGGAAGUAUGAUAAGAGUCAUUAUUUUACAAUGCAAUUGCAUAUAAGUCUACUUGUUCAAGCCUUUUAAGACAAUGAAUUUUUGGGAUAUUGCAGAAUCUAAAUUCUCAGUGCCUAAAACUGUUGUGAAAGAUUUGCAUGUUGUUCUUCGAUUGGAAAUUAAAAAUGCAGUUAAAUGAUCUCAAUCAAAAUUAUUUUGGAACUUCAAUCAAAACAAAGAAACUAAUUUUUUUUGGAGAAUUCCGGAAUUCCAAAAAACGGAGCGAGCCAUGGUGCGUCACCAAAUUAA
rnacentral:lncRNA from 1 species